CUGGGAACAGUAUAACUAACGGGAAAUGAAUCUAUAACGCUUUUCAGUAUAAAAUUGAAAAAAUCUCGGACUCCCCGAGACUUCCCGAGAGUUAUGGAUUUUGGUAGCGUCUGACUGAAAAACUAUUGGAACUGCUCAAUAAAUAAACCACAUAAUUCUAUAAUCGUAAAUAAAUACAAGUUUUAUCAUUUAGAAGAUAUAUUUUGUCAUAUAAAAUUACUAAAAUAAGUUUGAUUUAUUUGAUGUGAAGUGUUUUAUAAUAGUUUAGGAAUUUGUAUAUCAUCGCGGCAAUGGCCGCCAUUUUUUUAUUACCUUGUUUGCAUUCUGCACAGUUCUGUGAUGAACUGCUUGCGAUUUUAACAAAUUU
rnacentral:lncRNA from 1 species